ACGCUCGACACCUACGGGAGGCUGCAGUGGGGGAUAUUGCACAAUGGGGGAAACCCUGAUGCAGCAACGCCGCGUGAAGGAAGAAGGUCUUCGGAUUGUAAACUUCUGUCCUCAGGGAAGAUAAUGACGGUACCUGAGGAGGAAGCUCCGGCUAACUACGUGCCAGCAGCCGACGGUAAUCUGAGGCGGGCUGGACGAAGGC
rnacentral:rRNA from 1 species